AACGAACGCUGGCGGCGUGCUUAACACAUGCAAGUUGAACGAGAGGCAGUAGCAAUACUGUAGUAAAGUAGCAGACGGGUGAGUAACACGUGGGAAACUUCCUUUUAGUAAAGAAUAGCCCAGGGAAACUUGGAUUAAUACUUUAUACGCCCUACGGGGAAAGAUUUAUCGCUAAAAGAUGUGCCCGCGUUAGAUUAGGUAGUUGGUGGGGUAAUGGCCUACCAAGCCUACGAUCUAUAGCUGGUCUGAGAGGAUGAUCAGCCACACUGGGACUGAGACACGGCCCAGACUCCUACGGGAGGCAGCAGUGGGGAAUAUUGGACAAUGGGCGCAAGCCUGAUCCAGCAACGCCGCGUGAAUGAUGAAGGCCUUCGGGUCGUAAGUUCUUUGUAAGGGAAGAAAAUGACGGUACCUUAAGAAUAAGACUCCGGCUAACUUCGUGCCAGCAGCCGCGGUAAU
rnacentral:rRNA from 1 species